CGUGGCUUUUUGGCAGAUGCAGCCCUGGGCUGGGACCCUGAGGAGGCCACGCAGCUCUUCUGCCACCCCAAGCUGGAGGAGGAGGAGGAGGAGAAGGAGGAAGAAGAGGAGGAGAAGGAGGAAGAAGAGGAGGAGGAGGAGGAGAAGAAGAAGGAGGAGGAAGAAGAGAAGAAGGAGAAGGAGGAAGAGAAGGAGGAUGAAGAGGUGAAGAAGAAGGAGGAGGAGGAGGAGGAGGAGGAUGAAGAGGUGAAGAAGAAGGAGGAGGAGGAGGAAGAGCCCCCCCAGGACACCCCCGCCACCCGUGUCCCCCCAGCCGAGCCGGUGCUGGUGACCCCAGCCCAGGAGGAGGGAGCAGGGACCAGCGCAGCCCCCGGCGGUGCCGUGACCCAGGGGCCCCGCCGCAGCCAGCGCCUGGCCCGGGGCCAGGGGGGCAGAGCCCCUGCAGGGGGCGGGGCCUCCGCGGUGGGCGGGGCCUCUGGAGGGGGCGGGGCCAGCCAGGUGAGGGGCGGGGCCAACCAGGCGAGGGGCGGGGCUCUGCCAUGCCCCGCCCCCCCGCGCCGCAGCCCUCGCCUCCGGGCCCGCCCCCCCUCCCCUGCGGAGCCGCCGGCCAAGAAGGGGCGGGGCCAAGAGGAGCCACGCCCACCGCCCAUGACACGCCCCCAAAGGAGUGGCCACGCCCCCUCGCAGAUAAGGGAGGAGGAGGAGCCACCGGAGGGCGCCCGGGUCCAGCUCCGCCCUCGAGGAGGCGCCGGCUCCUCCAGCCCCAAGGUACGUGUGGGGGGGGUCCCCAAAAUGUCCCCCAGAAUGUCCCCAAGUCCCCCAAAACAUCCGUGUCCCCUGAAAUGUCC
rnacentral:lncRNA from 1 species